CCUACGGGGUGCAGCAGUGGGGGAUAUUGGACAAUGGGGGGAACCCUGAUCCAGCGACGCCGCGUGAGUGAAGAAGUAUCUCGGUAUGUAAAGCUCUAUCAGCAGGGAAGAAGAAAUGACGGUACCUGAGUAAGAAGCCCCGGCUAACUACGUGCCAGCAGCCGCGGUAAUACGUAGGGGGCAAGCGUUAUCCGGAAUUACGGGGUGUAAAGGGAGCGUAGACGGUGAUGUAAGUCUGGAGUGAAAGCCCAGGGCUCAACCCUGGGACUGCUUUUGAAACUGCCGGGCUGGAGUGCAGGAGAGGUAAGCGGAAUUCCUAGUGUAGCGGUGAAAUGCGUAGAUAUUAGGAGGAACACCAGUGGCGAAGGCGGCUUACUGGACUGUAACUGACGUUGAGGCUCGAAAGCGUGGGGAGCAAACAGGAUUAGAUACCCUAGUAGUC
rnacentral:rRNA from 1 species